CUGAGUUACCGCUCAUCAACCCUUUGUGAACAUACCUUAACUGUUGCUUCGGCGGGUAGGCGUCCCCUAAAAAGGACGUCUCCCGGCCCUCUCCCGUCCGCGGGUGGGGCGCCCGCCGGAGGAUAACCAAAACUCUGAUUUAACGACGUUUUCUUCUGAGUGACACAAGCAAAUAAUCA
rnacentral:misc_RNA from 1 species